CCAGACUCCUACGGGAGGCAGCAGUGAGGAAUAUUGGUCAAUGGGCUUACGCCUGAACCAGCCAAGUCGCGUGAGGGAAGACUGCCCUAUGGGUUGUAAACCUCUUUUGUCAGGGAGCAAUUGGCGCUACGUGUAGCGUUAUCGAGAGUACCUGAAGAAAAAGCAUCGGCUAACUACGUGCCAGCAGCCGCGGUAAUACGUAGGGAGCGAGCGUUAUCCGGAUUUAUUGGGUGUAAAGGGUGCGUAGACGGGUAUACAAGUUGGUUGUGAAAUCCCUCGGCUUAACUGAGGAACUGCAACCAAAACUGUAUAUCUUGAGUACAGGAGAGGUAAGUGGAAUUCCUAGUGUAGCGGUGAAAUGCGUAGAUAUUAGGAGGAACACCAGUGGCGAAGGCGACUUACUGGACUGAAACUGACGUUGAGGCACGAAAGUGUGGGGAGCAAACAGGAUUAGAUACCCUCGUA
rnacentral:rRNA from 1 species